GUUUUAAUAGUUUAAAAAAAACAUUGAUUUUGUAUAUCAAAAAUAAUUAUAUUUUAAAGCU
rnacentral:tRNA from 1 species